rnacentral:tRNA from 1 species
UAAGGGAUAGCUCAGUGGUAGUGUGCGUGCUUAACAUGCACAAGGUCCUGGGUUUAAUUCCCAGUACCUCCA